UGGUUGUACAAUUAUGAUCACCUGCAAAAAGAAAAGUCAUCCAACUAAUUAGAUAUCACGAAAGCAAAUUGGUGAGCUAAGUCAUCAUAUAAAUUACAAAUGAUGUGAUCAAAUCUUCAAAUAAACAAGAACUCGCAAAUUGAUCAUCUAUUAUUGAGCAAUUCAAGCUGUAAUUGCACGACCAAUAUAGAAUUCCUUGAAUUAAUAGUCAAAUUGGCUAAUAUGAUAGACAAGAAUGCUUAUUAUGAACUUGUUAACAAAAUUAAGCUUGGCCAAAAUUGCCAUCCUUUUUCUAUGAAAGCUGCAAUUUUUAUUCCUUAUCCUUAUCAAGGUUUUCGUUCCAAAAUGGAAAAAGGGUUCUUUCCUUAAGUAGAAAGCAAGAUUUACAAAAACCAAAAACUUAAUUUGAAAAAGAAAAAUUAAAACAAUUAUCCCAUCCCAUAAACAAACACCAACCAAGGAAACAUUCAACCGAAACACAAAAGCUGGAGAAUAGAAUCAUAUCGAAAAUCCAUGAAGAGUACUAGGGGAAAAAAUAUAUCAAACGGGGAAUAUGCAUGGAUCAUUCAGAUUACGGACAAUGAAGUACCUGGAGCGAGCUGAGAGA
rnacentral:misc_RNA from 1 species